GGGGGCGUAAAGGUUUCGACGGGGAUUCCAACUUAAGGUAAGCGUGCAGAGCCGGGCAGCUCUUUAAACUGUUCAACCUAAACUUAAACGCAGAUAACACUGCUAUUGCUGCCUGAGUAAGGCGGUGACGCGGCGCUGAGGCGCCGCCCGUCGUCCCCCGGAGUAUCGCGGCCGGGGUGUACGGCGUCGGUUAGCGAUGAACGUGAACUGCCUGUUUUCUUUUGAAGCAGUCACGCAUAAAAAAGAUACCCGGGACGGCUGUCUGACUGCCGUCCGCCGACCCGGGGAAACAAAGAACGACAGUAUGCGCACGGAGAAAGCCUUACCGCGGUUUUUUCGGACGAGGGUUCGAUUCCCUCCGCCUCCACCA
rnacentral:tmRNA from 1 species